rnacentral:rRNA from 1 species
CCGUACACAAAAGCGCAUGUGCUGUGAGCUCGAUGAGUAGGGCGGGACACGUGGUAUCCUGUCUGAAUAUGGGGGGACCAUCCUCCAAGGCUAAAUACUCCUGACUGACCGAUAGUGAACCAGUACCGUGAGGGAAAGGCGAAAAGAACCCCGGCGAGGGGAGUGAAAAAGAACCUGAAACCGUGUACGUACAAGCAGUGGGAGCACAGGUUUACCUGUGUGACUGCGUACCUUUUGUAUAAUGGGUCAGCGACUUAUAUUCUGUAGCAAGGUUAACCGAAUAGGGGAGCCGGAGGGAAACCGAGUCUUAAUUGGGCGUUAAGUUGCAGGGUAUAGACCCGAAACCCGGUGAUCUAGCCAUGGGCAGGUUGAAGGUUGGGUAACACUAACUGGAGGACCGAACCGACUAAUGUUGAAAAAUUAGCGGAUGACCUGUGGCUGGGGGUGAAAGGCCAAUCAAACCGGGAGAUAGCUGGUUCUCCCCGAAAGCUAUUUAGGUAGCGCCUCGUGAAUUCAUCUCCGGGGGUAGAGCACUGUUUCGGCUAGGGGGCCAUCCCGGCUUACCAACCCGAUGCAAACUGCGAAUACCGGAGAAUGUUAUCACGGGAGACACACGGCGGGUGCUAACGUCCGUCGUGAAGAGGGAAACAACCCAGACCGCCAGCUAAGGUCCCAAAGUCAUGGUUAAGUGGGAAACGAUGUGGGAAGGCCCAGACAGCCAGGAUGUUGGCUUAGAAGCAGCCAUCAUUUAAAGAAAGCGUAAUAGCUCACUGGUCGAGUCGGCCUGCGCGGAAGAUGUAACGGGGCUAAACCAUGCACCGAAGCUGCGGCAGCGAACGUAUCACUUAAAGCGAUUCAGCGGGUUACGAUUGACGGAGCGAAGCGACGUCAAAGCGUAUACAAAGUCGAGUCGGUUUAAGGAUACGUUCGUUGGGUAGGGGAGCGUUCUGUAAGCCCGUGAAGGUGGCCUGUGAGGG